AGCGAACGCUGGCGGCGUGCUUAACACAUGCAAGUCGAACGUGAAAUGUAGCAAUACAGAGUAAAGUGGCGUACGGGUGAGUAACACGUGGGUAAUCUACCAAAGAGCCCGGAAUAACCGGCCGAAAGGCUGGCUAAUACUGGAUAGUUCAAGCGAAAUAUAACGUUUUCGAUUGGGAAAGGGAGCGGGUAACCGCCUUCACUUUUUGAUGAGCCCGCGUCUGAUUAGCUAGUUGGUGAGGAAUGGCUCACCAAGGCUGAGAUCAGUAGCUGGUCUGAGAGGAUGAUCAGCCACACUGGAACUGAAACACGGUCCAGACUCCUACGGGAGGCAGCAGUGGGGAAUCUUGCGCAAUGGACGAAAGUCUGACGCAGCCACGCCGCGUGAGUGAAGAAGGCCU
rnacentral:rRNA from 1 species